GAGCCCGCACAAGCAGUGGAGUAUGUUGUUUAAUUCGAAGCAACGCGAAGAACCUUACCAGGUCUUGACAUCUGCGGAAGUCGGCGUAAUGGCUGAUGUGCCCUUCGGGGAACCGCAAGACAGGUAGUGCAUGGUUGUCGUCAGCUCGUGUCGUGAGAUGUUGGGUUAAGUCCCGCAACGAGCGCAACCCUUGCGAAUAGUUGCCAGCGCAGAAAUGCGAGGAACUCUAUUCGGACUGCCGUUGAUAAAACGGAGGAAGGUGGGGAUGAUGUCAAAUCAUCAUGCUCUUUAUGAUCUGGGCUACAAACGUACUACAAUGGCGCGAACAACGGGGAGCCAAAGGCGCGAGCCGGAGCAAAUCCCAAAAACGCGUCCCAGUUCGGAUUGCAGGCUGCAACUCGCCUGCAUGAAGUUGGAAUUGCUAGUAAUCGCGGGUCAGCAUACCG
rnacentral:rRNA from 1 species